rnacentral:lncRNA from 1 species
UGUGUGUAUUACAUUAUAACGUUGUGUCCUUUGUUUUCUCUUAUUUUUGAGUGUAAAUUCACAUUGCGAUAAGACGUGCCACGGUACUUGUCUAUCCCAAAUUCAUGUAUUUGGUUUUGAUGUUAUAUAUAUAUGUUAUAUUUGUUAUUCUCGUGUGAUUUUGUCUAUGUGUGUUACAUUUUAGUGUUAUGUCGUUGUUCUCCUCUUAUAUUUAAUGCGUUUCCCUCGGUUUUAGUUUG